GAGCAGCCAGAUCCGUCAGAUCCGUCGCAAGAUGGUUGAGAUCAUGAGAAACCAAGCAAGUUCCUGUGACCUGAAGGAGUUGGUAGCAAAGUUCAUCCCUGAAUCAAUUGGUAGAGAGAUUGAGAAAGCUACUUCAAGCAUUUUUCCACUCCAAAAUGUUUAUAUUCGCAAAGUGAAGAUCCUGAAGGCCCCUAAAUUCGAUCUUGGCAAGCUGAUGGAGGUGCAUGGUGACUAUUCAGAAGAUGUUGGUGUGAAGUUGGAUCGACCCGCUGAAGAAACAGUGGCUGAGGCAGAGACAGAGGUCCCUGGAGCUUAGACUUUGUUUCAUUUUGGAUUUCCUGUCUGAAUAUGGAUUCUAGUCUUCUAAAAUUUUGCAUUUGUUUUAGUUGAGUUUGUCAAAGGCGUGACCUACCAAAAUUUUGGAUCUAUUUAUUUUGGUUAUGCUUGAUGUUAAACUAUUCACAAUUUAAGAUAUCGUUUUUC
rnacentral:misc_RNA from 1 species